AUGAUCGUGAUAUUAAUUGUUGAUUAAAAAUAGAAAAGUGAAGUGAAACCAAGUAAAUAUUUUCAAAGUGUGAUUUAGUAGUUCAGUGUUAUUGUUCUAAUUGUAAUUUAAGUACGUAAUUAUAGUGAGUAAUUAUUGCUAGUGUCAGUGAAGUGCUCAGAAGAAAUUAACGUCAUUGUUGGAUUACAUGAAGAAAUAAAUACAUUUAUUAUCAGCAUGUAAUUAUCAUAAAUAAUAUGCAACUGGUAUUCUGCAAAAUUGAUUAUUUUGGAGAUCCAGGUAUUUUGUGAUACAAAAAUAGUAUAUUACGAAGACAGACGACAAGUUUUGAAAAAAUUGUCGACUGUCUACUAUUAAUUUCACAAAUACCUGCUUUCAAUUGUAUCAAGUAUCAUCGUCUCCAUCAGCCAACAGUUG